rnacentral:lncRNA from 1 species
AGCGGGGAUAAGGAGUUUCACGCAGAGCAGGGAAUGGAGGGAACAGGUUUUAAAGAUUCCAAAGGAGCGGUGGUUUUAAAACAAAUCAGAUUCACCUGCCAUAACACCCUAUCUAAAUAGAAGCUUUUUGGUUCUAGUUGUAAGCCCACAUGAUAGCAGAUUAUAUUUCUUUUAUUUUGGGUGAUCUAUUUAUUAUUCAAAAAAAUCCAGAAAACAUGCUAUCCAAGAUUUUGAAAUACUGAAUUUGAAUAUUGAAUUUAUUACAACAUGAUUCUAAAGAUGCCCUAUGAUAUUCUCCUAGCAAACGCAGUAUUUGAGUUGAUCCCAAAAGCCAGACUGAGUUUCUAGUACAGUGCCCUGAAAAGAUGCACAGAGAAGACUGAAAUGGGCAGCAGAGGAGGAGACUAAAGGAAAGACAGAGUCAAACUUUGCAUGAAAUUUCUGCUAUCAUUGAUGGAGAUGCCUUGAGAUUAUUAUUUUUGGACUACACCCAAGUUUUUACAUCGGAACAAAAUAAAGAGCCUCAAGGGUGAUUGGAAGAGCUAUUAAGUCAACCCCCAUGUAAAGGCAGCCAUCUUCUCAAUAAGGAUUUCCCAACCUUGCCCCAUUUACACUUGGAACCAGUUCCUCCAGCCCUUGCUUGUAACCCGGAUUCCACCUCUGAUAGAGAUUUGGAGGCUGCUGCUAUUGUCCAAGGCACUGGUAAGUACAGAGUGGUCAGGGCAUCCGCCAGCUCACAAACCUCAGUGGAUCCAUAUUUUGGGCAUGAUUGUUCUGUUCAGAGUGGCUGGUAUGUCCAAAACCGUUAGUAUGCUGGAUGUAGUUAAUAUGUUAGAUCUUCACUAUCUCCACAAUGGUCAAUUUUUCCAGGCCAGUGAGGUCUGUCUUGUUUGUUUGCAUUUCUGUGG